rnacentral:rRNA from 1 species
UACGGAGGGGGCUAGCGUUGUUCGGAAUUACUGGGCGUAAAGCGCACGUAGGCGGAUAUUUAAGUCAGGGGUGAAAUCCCGGGGCUCAACCCCGGAACUGCCUUUGAUACUGGGUAUCUGGAGGUCGAGAGAGGCGAGUGGAAUUCCGAGUGUAGAGGUGAAAUUCGUAGAUAUUCGGAGGAACACCAGUGGCGAAGGCGGCUCGCUGGCUCGGUAUUGACGCUGAGGCGCGAAAGCCAGGGGAGCAAACGGG